rnacentral:SRP_RNA from 1 species
ACUGGGAGUUCUGGCGUGCUCCUGUAAUCCAGCUACUUGGAGGUCAGAUUCUGAGGAUGGUUUGAGGACGGGGUUCACUGCGGCUGGGUGUUACACGUUGACCGGGCGUCCGCACUAAGCUGGCCAUCAACAUGGUGUACUACUGGGAACUCUAGUGCACCAGGUUAGCUAAAGAGGGGCGAAUCGGGCCAGGGAGGAAACUCAGCAGCCAAAAGUCCCCGUGGCUUGCAGUAGUGGGAUCGCGCCUGUGAGUGGGACCCCAGUUGUAGCCCGGCCAAUACAACUAAACCAGAAUCUUU